rnacentral:tRNA from 1 species
GGUUCGGUAGUGUAAUGAAUGAGCACAUCAAACUAGAUAUCUGCAGCUGCGGGUUCGAUUCCCGCCUGAGGUU